AGUCGACGAGAACCAGGGCUUCGGCCCUGGGGAGAGUGGCGAACGGGUGAGUAACACGUGGGUAACCUACCCCAGAGACCGGGACAACCUUGGGAAACCAGGGCUAAUACCGGAUGACCUCGCGCAUCCGCAUGAAGGUGCGAGCAAAUGGUCCGCCGCUCUGGGAUGGGCCCGCGGCUGAUUAGCUUGUUGGUGAGGUAAUGGCUCACCAAGGCUGCGAUCAGUAGCCGGCCUGAGAGGGUGAUCGGCCACACUGGGACUGAGACACGGCCCAGACUCCUACGGGAGGCAGCAGUGGGGAAUCUUGCGCAAUGGGCGAAAGCCUGACGCAGCGACGCCGCGUGGAGGAUGAAGGCUUUCGGGUUGUAAACUCCUUUCAGCGGGGACGAAGCCCUUCGGGGUGACGGUACCCGCAGAAGAAGCCCCGGCUAACUACGUGCCAGCAGCCGCGGUAAUACGUAGGGGGCGAGCGUUGUCCGGAUUCAUUGGGCGUAAAGAGCACGUAGGCGGCUUGCCAAGUCAGGUGUGAAACCCCGGGGCUCAACCCCGGGCCUGCACUUGAAACUGGCAGGCUAGAGUCUGGUAGAGGGAAGUGGAAUUCCUAGUGUAGCGGUGAAAUGCGCAGAUAUUAGGAAGAACACCAGUGGCGAAGGCGGCUUCCUGGGCCACGACUGACGCUGAGGUGCGAAAGCUGGGGGAGCGAACAGGAUUAGAUACCCUGGUA
rnacentral:rRNA from 1 species